rnacentral:tRNA from 1 species
GGUGAGAUGUCCGAGUGGUUGAAGGAGCACGCCUGGAAAGUGUGUAUGUGCGAAAGUGCAUCAAGGGUUCGAAUCCCUUUCUCACCGCCA